rnacentral:rRNA from 1 species
CCGACGGGGGGCAGCAGUGGGGAAUAUUGGGCAAUGGGCGCAAGCCGGACCCAGCAACGCAGCGUGAAGGAAGAAGGCUUUCGGGUUGUAAACUUAUUUUAUGAGGGACGAAAGAAAUGACGGUACCUCAUGAAUAAGCCACGGCUAACUACGUGCCAGCAGCCGCGGUACUACGUAGGUGGCAAGCGUUAUCCGGAUUUACUGGGUGUAAAGGGCGUGUAGGCGGGACUGAAAGUCAGAUGGGAAAAUUUUGGG